GACGAACGCUGGCGGCGUGCCUAACACAUGCAAGUCGAACGAGUGGCGGACGGGUGAGUAAUGUCUGGGAAACUGCCCGAUGGAGGGGGAUAACUACUGGAAACGGUAGCUAAUACCGCAUACCAUCGGAUGUGCCCAGAUGGGAUUAGCUAGUAGGUGGGGUAACGGCGCGCUUAGGCGACGACCCCUAGCUGGUCUGAGAGGAUGACCAGCCACACUGAAACUGAGAAACGGACCAGACUCCUACGGGAGGCAGCAGGGGGGAAUAUUUCACAAUGGGCGCAAUCCUGAUGCAGCCAUGCGGCGUGUAUGAAGAAGGCCUUCGGGGUGUAAAAUACUUUCAGCGAGGAGGCGUUACUCGCAGAAGAAGCACCGGCUAACGCCGUGCCAGCAGCCGCGGUAAUAC
rnacentral:rRNA from 1 species